CUCUAGGUCUAGUAGGGGAACACAUCUGGUCAGCUCUCCUCUAGGUCUAGUCGGGGAACACAUCUGGUCAGCUCUCCUCUAGGUCUAGUCGGGGAACACAUCUGGUCAGCUCUCCUCUAGGUCUAGUCGGGGAACACAUCUGGUCAGCUCUCCUCUAGGUCUAGUCGGGGAACACAUCUGGUCAGCUCUCCUCUAGGUCUAGUCGGGGAACACAUCUGGUCAGCUCUCCUCUAGGUCUAGUAGGGGAACACAUCUGGUCAGCUCUCCUCUAGGUCUAGUAGGGGAACACAUCUGGUCAGCUCUCCUCUAGGUCUAGUCGGGGAACACAUCUGGUCAGCUCUCCUCUAGGUCUAGUCGGGGAACACAUCUGGUCAGCUCUCCUCUAGGUCUAGUCAGGGGAACACAUCUGGUCAGCUCUCCUCUAGGUCUAGUAGGGGGAACACAUCUGGUCAGCUCUCCUCUAGGUCUAGUAGGGGAACACAUCUGGUCAGCUCUCCUCUAGGUCUAGUAGGGGAACACAUCUGGUCAGCUCUCCUCUAGGUCUAGUAGGGGAACACAUCUGGUCAGCUCUCCUCUAGGUCUAGUCGGGGAACACAUCUGGUCAGCUCUCCUCUAGGUCUAGUAGGGGAACACAUCUGGUCAGCUCUCCUCUAGGUCUAGUCGGGGAACACAUCUGGUCAGCUCUCCUCUAGGUCUAGUCGGGGAACACAUCUGGUCAGCUCUCCUCUAGGUCUAGUCGGGGAACACAUCUGGUCAGCUCUCCUCUAGGUCUAGUCUGAACACAUCUGGUCAGCUCUCCUCUAGGUCUAGUCGGGGAACA